GAACGCGAAGAACCUUACCCGGGCUUGAAUUGCAGAGGAAGGAUUUAGAGAUAAUGACGCCCUUCGGGGUCUCUGUGAAGGUGCUGCAUGGUUGUCGUCAGCUCGUGCCGUGAGGUGUCGGCUUAAGUGCCAUAACGAGCGCAACCCCUCUCUUCAGUUGCCAUCAGGUAAAGCUGGGCACUCUGGAGACACUGCCACCGUAAGGUGUGAGGAAGGUGGGGAUGACGUCAAAUCAGCACGGCCCUUACGUCCGGGGCUACACACGUGUUACAAUGGCCGGUACAGAGGGAUGGUGUAAUGCAAAUUGCAUCAAAUCUUGAAAGCCGGUCCCAGUUCGGACUGGGGUCUGCAACCCGACCCCACGAAGCUGGAUUCGCUAGUAAUCGCGCAUCAGCCAUGGCGCGGUGAAUACGUUCCCGGGUCUUGUACACACC
rnacentral:rRNA from 1 species